rnacentral:lncRNA from 1 species
AGAGACCCUUUGCAAAAGAGAGCCUAACAAGCAUCAUCAUCUGAUGAAGAAUAACUUCUUAAGCAUCUGCCAAGCACCUGAUAAAAGGUUCAACCAGAUGCUGCUUAACGUCCAUCAGAAGCAAAUCUGGGCUUUUUAGGAACACAGGAUGUCUAAAGGAUGUGGAUGUGUUGGGAUGAAAAUGAAGUUACCAAUAGCUGACACCAAGAAAAAAAUCAAUAAUGCCUUUACAAAGUAAAAACCCAGACCACAGGAAAUUCAUUACAGCCUACUGCUGUCUG